AACAGGAAGUAGCUUCGCAUCUAAUGAGAAGUGAUACGCGCAACCUUGUUUUAUGCUUGCUCGAACUGAAGAGAUCUCUUGGAAGAUAAAUGUUGUGUUGCACAUGGAACUUAAUAUAGAACAAAGUAAUGAUAGUUAACCACUUAAUUAGCAGUAAAAAACCAGUCUACACUGUACUGAAAUAUAAAGGUUUAACCACUUAAUUAGCAGUAAAAAAUAGUCUACGCUGUACUGAAAUAUAAAGGUGGGAACCUGGAUGGCUGUACCUUUUUCACGAUGAUCAUUUGGCAUACUUCUCUGAAGAGAACAAACUAAGGAACCAAUGGAGCUACCACAUAAAACAGUGAAAGAAAAUAGGAAGAAAAUAAGCUAGGAUGUGAUCCUGACAUGGCCAUCAGACUUUGUGGCGAUGUUGACAGUUUCUUACAACAUAUGUUUGGUUUGUUUCCACUACAAGGCAAAGCAAGGGAAAAGAACAGGUAAAUCUUGUGUGGCUGUGUGAUGCAUUUCUUGUUGGUAUACGACUAUGACGGUAUUACCGAAUAUUAUUUAUCUUUUACCUUUCUGAAUCUUGUAGCACAACAGAAACAUGAUUUUGUGCUAUUGAAUAAUGCCUCUAUUAGUUUUGAUGGAUUUAGUGAUGAUUUGUUGAUUAUGGUAGUGGGGAUUUGGAGAGAAUCAAGAAGUUGCCACAUGAACUGUCAUUUAUCUCUCUAACUUCCAUUUAGUAAAAUUUCUAUUUCUGAUGUUCUACUCUUUCUGAAUUUUUAUGUGGUGCAUUGUGAAGAUCCUUCUCUGCUACAGGAGAACCUGAGAUGCAACAUCAACGUGGUGGUCAUAUAUCAGAAAGGCAAGUUCUUAUGAAAGGAAGGUACCAUACCAAUACCUUGAUUCCCAUUGGGCUGCAAAUCUGCUGCUUUGGUGUUCCUCCAGUCAGUGUGAAUGGCUGUUUGUAGGUCAACAUCUCCGGCGGCAGGCCAACGGGCACCAUCUCGAGCCAUAGAACCUGCAUGAGAGACAAGAAACACAAGGUCCAUUAUGAGUCUGUACUAGGAUUGAAGUAGGAAGCUGCCAGAGGUGUGUAAUUCAUGUACGGUGAGUGCUUUGCUUGGAUCAAUUGUAUGUACCCCCUGAGUUUUUAGAUUCAUAGCAGUUGACUGAUCUUAAUGUGGGGUGCUAUUUCAGUUAUAAAUGUUCUUUUCCUGAUGUACAUGAAUGGUACUUUCUGAUUUGGCAAUGAAUAGUUU